rnacentral:rRNA from 1 species
UGGGGAAUAUUGGACAAUGGGGGCAACACUGAUCCAGCCAUGCCGCGUGUGUGAAGAAGGCCCUCGGGUUGUAAAGCACUUUCAGCGAGGAAGAACGCCUAGCGGUUAAUACCCAUUAGGAAAGACAUCACUCGCAGAAGAAGCACCGGCUAAUUCCGUGCCAGCAGCCGCGGUAAUACGGAGGGUGCAAGCGUUAAUCGGAAUUACUGGGCGUAAAGCGCGCGUAGGUGGCUUGAUAAGCCGGUUGUGAAAGCCCCGGGCUCAACCUGGGAACGGCAUCCGGAACUGUCAAGCUAGAGUGCAGGAGAGGAAGGUAGAAUUCCCGGUGUAGCGGUGAAAUGCGUAGAGAUCGGGAGGAAUACCAGUGGCGAAGGCGGCCUUCUGGACUGACACUGACACUGAGGUGCGAAAGCGUGGGUAGCAAACAGGAUUAGAUACCCAAGUAGUCCCUGAGCGGGCUGGCAAGGCGCAU